rnacentral:snoRNA from 10 species
UCGCACUGGAUCGUAACCUGGUUCAAUGUUUGGUAUGAACUACGUGUUCCAUUCCAGUGCUAGAGUAAUCCUUCCGGCGAGGCAGGGGAGCAGUGCCUGUAGUGGUCGCUCCCUGUUCACUCCCUGGGAACAUUC